AUGGCGUCGCCCUCGCCCUCGCCGCCGCCGUCCAAUUCGGGCCUCCGUACACGCCUCACCAAGGACCGACCGCCCGCCCCGUCCCCGUCCCCGCUCGCAGCCGUCUCCAGCCACGCCGACCGCGACCGCAUCAUCGGAGUGUUCCGGAGCGCGCUGUGCAGGGCCGAAUCCCCGGAAGCUUUCGCCCUCCAGGCGCUCCAGGAAGCAAUCAAGCCUCAGAAGCAAACGGUGCUGGUUCUAGAGGAGAACCAGUACUUGGAGAAUGCUCUCCGGAGGCUGCUGCAGGAACUUGUCUCAUCUGCAGUUCAAUCUGGUAAAGGAGUCAUGCAAUGUGGAAACUCAGUGGAUAGCGGAGAAAGUAGUUGCAUGAUAACACGCCUUCUUGAUAUGAUGCUUUACCUUUGUGAAAGAGGACAUGUUGAGGCUGGUAUGGUAUUCCAGCUCUUAGAAGAUCUGACGGACAUGUCAACUAUCAAAGAUUGCAAACAUGUCUUUGGGUAUAUCGAGAGCAAACAGGAUGUCUUGGGGAAGCAAGAAUUAUUUCGGCGUGGCAAGUUGGUUAUGCUGAGGACAUGCAACCAAUUACUCCAAAGACUUUCAAAGUCAAACGAUGUGGUCUUCCGUGGACGAAUUAUCAUGUUUCUGGCACAUUUCUUCCCGUUGUCAGAGCGUUCAGCUCUCAACAUCAAGGGAGUUUUCAACAUAUCAAAUGAAACUAAGUAUGAGAAAGAUCCCACCGCCGGAAUUUCUGUUGACUUCAACUUCUACCAGACCUUGUGGAGUCUUCAGGAGCAUUUCAGGAACCCAGCUUCGACUACUACAAACCCAACAAAAUGGCAAAAGUUUGCUUCUAAUUUAAUGGUCGUGUUAAGCACAUUUGAAUCUCAGACUCUCUGUAGUGCUGAUGGAAAGCAUAACAAUACUGAGCAGGAGGGGGAUGCUGCUUCCAAUAUUAAGUACCUUACUAGCAGUAAAUUGAUGGCUUUGGAGUUGAAGGACGCAAGUUUUCGAUGCCACAUCCUUGUCCAAUGCCUUAUAUUUUUUGAUUGUCUGAAGGCGCCUGGAAAGAGUGACAAGGAAGGUCCAUCCGAGAGCAUGAAAGAGGAAAUCAAAUCCUGUGAAGAGCGUGUUAAGAACCUCCUGGAGAUGAUUCCACAGAAAGGGAGGGAAUUCCUACGAAGCAUUGAGCAUAUUGUUGAGCGGGAGAGAAACUGGGUUUGGUGGAAGAGAGAUGGAUGUCCAGCAUUUGAAAAACAAACUUUUGAAAAGAAGUCGGGUCAAGCUGGAGUCAGGAAACGUAACCCAAGGUGGAGGUUGGGAAACAAAGAACUUGCCCAACUGUGGAAAUGGGCAGAACUAAACCCUACUGCUUUGACUGAUCCUGACCGAGUCCGCACACCAUCAGUUAGAGAAUAUUGGAAGCCACUUGCGGAAGAUAUGGACACAUCUGCCGGAAUUGAGGAGGAGUAUCACCACAAAAGUAAUCGUGUUUAUUGCUGGAAAGGUUUACGGUUUCAAGCCAGACAAGAUUUGGAAGGAUUUUCUCGAUUUUGUGAAGACAGGAUCGAGGGGGUUGUACCUUGA
rnacentral:rRNA from 1 species